AAACAAUAAAGAACUGACCUAGAACCAUACCGAAAUUUUAGUUCGAUUCCGAUUUCCGGGCAAACUUCAAACUGAAUUGAAACCUCACACGCUAGGAUCUACACAUAUUUCCAAAUUCAUAAUUCAAGGCAUAAAAGAUGGUAUAAAUCGUAUUUCAUCACAAAGUACAAAUCUUUCCAAUGCAAAACCUAUAUCAAAUUCACCACAAUCAGCACACAUUUCAACAAAUUGCACUUCUUGAACAUCAUAAUCCUUGUGGCAAUGAAAAAGAACAUAACAGAAAUGCAGACAGAAUUCCUUCGCAUUUAUCUGCAUCACUUCUCCUUCAAUAUAGCAUGAAUCAGACACCAAGAAAGCCCUUCUCUUUCAGGCAUUCAAUGGUGUCCAAAACACUCACCUCCAAGGGAAUGAAGUUGAUGCCUAAACUCUUAGCUUUCUCCUUUGAAAUCUCAUAUUUCAAUGCGAAAGGCUUGCCAUCUUCACGUUUCUCAGGAAGAUGCAGAGUAGGGUAUUGCUCAUGGACGAUCUUCAACAACUCUGAGAAAUGUACAACUCUUUCGACUAAGCAAUAUCUGCCAUUAGCAGAAGGUUGUUCAAAAGCUUGAAUAUGUGCAGAUGCAACAUCUCUAACAUCAACAAAUCUGUAAAUUUCAUUAGGAAAUGUUUCUCCAUUUAUGUAGUUCAGAAUAACCUCCACAGUGAGAUUUAGAGUUGGCUGUAAGAAAGGACCUAUCACAAACCCUGGAUGUAUUGUGACCAUGUCAAUUCCAAUUUCUUUUGCAAAUUUCCAAGCAGCCUUUUCGGCUAUGGUUUUUGCAUACAGAUACCAAUGCUUUAUUGACUCACAAUGGGCAGGAUCUGAAAACCAAGUCUCAUCAAUUACCACAUCAGGAGUCAGAGGCUUUCCAUUGAACAUAACUGAUGCCAUUGAAGAUGUUAUGAUCACUCUCUUGAGAGAAGGGACUUUUGCACAUGACCUGAGAACGUUUAGUGUUCCCUUCACUGCAGGAUCA
rnacentral:misc_RNA from 1 species